AGUCGACGGGACUAUGCGAGAUGAAGUUUUCGGAUGGAAUUUUGUAUAGUUUAGUGGCGGACGGGUGAGUAACACGUGAGCAACCUGCCUUCGAGAGGGGAAUAACGGCUGGAAACGGUCGCUAAUACCGCAUAACAUACGGGAGGGACAUCCCUUUUGUAUCAAAGAUUUAUCGCUCGAAGAUGGGCUCGCGUCCGAUUAGGUAGUUGGUGAGGUAACGGCCCACCAAGCCGACGAUCGGUAGCCGGACUGAGAGGUUGAACGGCCACAUUGGGACUGAGACACGGCCCAGACUCCUACGGGAGGCAGCAGUGGGGGAUAUUGCACAAUGGGGGAAACCCUGAUGCAGCGACGCCGCGUGUAGGAAGACGGUCCUCUGGAUUGUAAACUACUGUCCCCAGGGACGAAGAUGACGGUACCUGGGGAGGAAGCUCCGGCUAACUACGUGCCAGCAGCCGCGGUAAUACGUAGGGAGCGAGCGUUGUCCGGAAUUACUGGGUGUAAAGGGAGCGUAGGCGGGGAUGCAAGUUGGGUGUUAAAUCUACCGGCUCAACUGGUAGUCGCACUCAAAACUGCAGCUCUUGAGUGAAGUAGAGGCAGGCGGAAUUCCUAGUGUAGCGGUGAAAUGCGUAGAUAUUAGGAGGAACACCAGUGGCGAAGGCGGCCUGCUGGGCUUUUACUGACGCUGAGGCUCGAAAGUGUGGGGAGCAAACAGGAUUAGAUACCCUGGUAGUCCACACCGUAAACGAUGAUUACUAGGUGUGGGGGGGUCUGACCCCCU
rnacentral:rRNA from 1 species